GCGAGGCAAAGACCGCGAGGCGGAGCGAAUCGCUAAAAGCCGUCCCAGUUCGGAUUGCAGGCUGCAACCCGCCUGCAUGAAGUUGGAAUCGCUAGUAAUCGCGAAUCAGAAUGUCGCGGUGAAUACGUUCCCGGGUCUUGUACACACCGCCCGUCACACCAUGGGAGUCGGAAAUGCCCGAAGUCAGUGACCCAACCGUAAGGAGGGAGCUGCCGAAGGUGGAGCCGGUAACUGGGGUGAAGUCGUAACAAGGUAAC
rnacentral:rRNA from 1 species